ensembl:snRNA U6 U6 spliceosomal RNA
GUGGUCACUUUGGUAGAGCAUCUAAUAAAAACUUGGAAUGAUACAGAGAAUACUGACAUGGUCACUGCAUAAAGAUGACAUGCGAAGUCAUAAAGUCUUCCAUAUUCUU